rnacentral:pre_miRNA from 1 species
AUAAUACUCCCUUCGUUCGAAAUUACUUGUCGUAGAAAUAGAUGUAUCUAGACGUAUUUUAGUUCUAGAUACAUCCAUUUUUUAGACAAGUAAUUCCGAAUGGAGGGAGUACAAG